rnacentral:rRNA from 1 species
ACACACCGCCCGUCACACCAUGAGAGUUGGGAAUACCCGAAGCCUGUGAGCUAACUUUUAGAGGCAGCAGUCGAAGGUAGAAUCAAUGAUUGGGGUGAAGUCGUAACAAGGUACC